AUUGAACGCUAGCGGGAUGCUUUACACAUGCAAGUCGAACGGCAGCGCGGACUUCGGUCUGGCGGCGAGUGGCGAACGGGUGAGUAAUAUAUCGGAACGUACCCAGUAGCGGGGGAUAACUACUCGAAAGAGUGGCUAAUACCGCAUACGUCCUACGGGAGAAAGCAGGGGACCUUCGGGCCGUUGUCACUAUUGGUAGGCGGCCGGACUAUCGGAGUUAGCUAGUUGGUGGGGUAAAGGGACCGUACCCAAACGGACGG
rnacentral:rRNA from 1 species